UACGAAGGGGGCUAGCGUUGUUCGGAAUUACUGGGCGUAAAGCGUGCGCAGGCGGCUUCUCAAGUCAGGGGUGAAAGCCCAGAGCUCAACUCUGGAAUUGCCUUUGAGACUGAGUGGCUUGAGUACGAGAGAGGUGAGUGGAAUUCCCAGUGUAGAGGUGAAAUUCGUAGAUAUUGGGAAGAACACCGGUGGCGAAGGCGGCUCACUGGACUGGUAUUGACGCUGAGGUGGCGAAAAGCGUGGGGAGCAAACAGG
rnacentral:rRNA from 1 species